rnacentral:rRNA from 1 species
UUGGUUAAGUUAGAAAGGGCGCACGGUGGAUGCCUUGGCACUAGGAGCCGAAGAAGGACGGGACUAACACCGAUAUGCUUUGGGGAGCUGUACGUAAGCGUUGAUCCAGAGAUUUCCGAAUGGGGGAACCCACUAUCUUUAGUCGGAUAGUAUCCUUACGUGAAUACAUAGCGUGAGGAAGGCAGACCCAGGGAACUGAAACAUCUAAGUACCUGGAGGAAGAGAAAGAAAAAUCGAUUUCCUGAGUAGCGGCGAGCGAAACGGAAAGAGCCCAAACCAAGAAGCUUGCUUCUUGGGGUUGUAGGACACUCUAUACGGAGUUACAAAAGAAAGUUAUAAAUGAAGCGGUCUGGAAAGGCCCGCCAAAGACGGUAACAGCCCGGUAGUUGAAAUGGCUUUCCCUCCAGAGUGGAUCCUGAGUACGGCGGAACACGUGAAAUUCCGUCGGAAUCCGGGAGGACCAUCUCCCAAGGCUAAAUACUCCCUAGUGACCGAUAGUGAACCAGUACCGUGAGGGAAAGGUGAAAAGCACCCCGGAAGGGGAGUGAAACAGUUCCUGAAACCGUGUGCCUACAAGUAGUUAGAGCCCGUUAAUGGGUGAUAGCGUGCCUUUUGUAGAAUGAACCGGCGAGUUACGAUUUGUUGCAAGGUUAAGCGGAAAAAGCGGAGCCGUAGCGAAAGCGAGUCUGAAUAGGGCGCAUAAGUAACAGGUCGUAGACCCGAAACCAGGUGAUCUACCCAUGUCCAGGAUGAAGGUAAGGUAAUACUUACUGGAGGUCCGAACCCACGCACGUUGAAAAGUGCGGGGAUGAGGUGUGGGUAGCGGAGAAAUUCCAAUCGAACUUGGAGAUAGCUGGUUCUCUCCGAAAUAGCUUUAGGGCUAGCCUCGAGGUAAAGAGUCAUGGAGGUAGAGCACUGUUUGGACUAGGGGCCCUUCUCGGGUUACCGAAUUCAGAUAAACUCCGAAUGCCAUGUACUUAUACUCGGGAGUCAGACUGCGAGUGAUAAGAUCCGUAGUCGAAAGGGAAACAGCCCAGACCACCAGUUAAGGUCCCCAAAUAUAUGUUAAGUGGAAAAGGAUGUGGGGUUG